UACGAGGGGGGCUAAUGUUGUUCGGAAUCACUGGGCGUAAAGGGAGCGUAGGCGGGCUUCUAAGUUAGGUGUUUAAUCCCAGGGCCCAACCCUGGUCGUGCACUUAAAACUGGGAGUCUUGAAUAGUGGAGAGGUCAGUGGAAUUGGGGGUGUAGCGGUGGAAUGCGUAGAGAUCCCCAAGAACACCAGUUGCGAAGGCGGCUGACUGGACACAUAUUGACGCUGAGGCUCGAAAGCAUGGGGAGCAAACAGG
rnacentral:rRNA from 1 species